UGACAUUCUGCCACCUGGUAAUAAGGAUACCAUAUAGCCCCAAAAAUAAGCGGAUAAAAUAAGACCUUGAAGAGGUUCGUCCCAUACAAAAGGGCCAUCCUGCAAAAUAAUUUAUUCUAUCACAGACUUUAUUCUCUAAGACUGACCUCACAGAGAUCAUACCUUAUCGCUGGAGGUAUGUUUGAUAAGCCAAAGAGAAGGAAGAUUGAUUACCUCGGUAGAAGAUACUGUUGUGUUUGAAAUUGCAUCAUCUCGACAAGCUUCCGUUAUUUUUAAACUUGCAUUUUCACUUUUUAAUUCAUCGUGCAUCGAUGAAAGUCGUACGGCUGUAUGAUUCACCAUCGCGACGAUAGCUACGCUGACAUUAACUUUAAAACCAUAUAUAAUAGCCAAACCGAUGGAUCCAAGUAUGGCCAUUAAAUAUCGGACUGGAAAUAGUGGGCCAUGUCGGCCUGUAAAUAAAAUUCCCCGUUAUUAAACUCUUCUUAUCCUCCUAUAACAAUUUUUUCUCGUUGCAAUUAGAAUAGAUCUAACAGACCCAACUCAAUUCUAAUUCAAAUUUACAAGUUUAUUGAAUCAAAAAAAAAAAAAAAAAAGGAAAAAAAACUUUG